rnacentral:rRNA from 1 species
UACGGAGGAUGCAAGCGUUAAUCGGAAUUACUGGGCGUAAAGCGCACGCAGGCGGUCUGUCAAGUCAGAUGUGAAAUCCCCGGGCUCAACCUGGGAACUGCAUUCGAAACUGGCAGGCUAGAGUCUUGUAGAGGGGGGUAGAAUUCCAGGUGUAGCGGUGAAAUGCGUAGAGAUCUGGAGGAAUACCGGUGGCGAAGGCGGCCCCCUGGACAAAGACUGACGCUCAGGUGCGAAAGCGUGGGGAGCAAACAGGAUUAGAUACCCUGGUAGUCCACGCCGUAAACGAUGUCGAUUUGGAGGUUGUGGCCUUGAGGCGUGGCUUCCGGAGCUAACGCGUUAAGUCGACCGCCUGGGGAGUACGGCCGCAAGGUUAAA